rnacentral:rRNA from 1 species
AAAUGCAUGUCUAGUAUAAAUAACUUUAUAUUGUGAAACUGCGAAUGGCUCAUUAAAUCAGUUAUGAUCUACGUGACAAAUUCUUUACUACUUGGAUAACCGUGGUAAUUCUAGAGCUAAUACAUGCAAAAAAGCCCUGACUUACGAAGGGGUGCACUUAUUAGAUAAAACCAACGCGGGGUAAAACCUGUUUCUUGGUGAAUCAUAAUAAUUAAGCGGAUCGCAUGGCCUUGUGCCGGCGACGGUCCACUCGAUUUUUCUGCCCUAUCAUGGUUGAGAUUGUAAGAUAGAGGCUUACAAUGCCUACAACGGGUAACGGGGAAUUAGGGUUCGAUUCCGGAGAGGGAGCCUGAGAAACGGCUACCACAUCCAAGGAAGGCAGCAGGCGCGCAAAUUACCCAAUCCCGACACGGGGAGGUAGUGACAAUACAUAACAAUGCAGGGCCUUUAAGGUCUUGCAAUUGGAAUGAGUACAAUUUAAAUCCCUUAACGAGGAUCAAUUGGAGGGCAAGUCUGGUGCCAGCAGCCGCGGUAAUUCCAGCUCCAAUAGCGUAUAUUAAAGUUGUUGCAGUUAAAACGUCCGUAGUCAAACUUUAGUCUUACCGGCGUAGUGGCCUGGUCUUCAUUGACCAAGCUCAUUGCUGCCGGAGACUCCAUGUCCAUUGACUCCUAGUCCUCGUGGCUAGGGUUUUCUGGACAAUUACCAUGAGCAAAUCAGAGUGUUUAAAGCAGGCUUUUAAGCUUGAAUGUGUUAGCAUGGAAUAAUGAAAUAUGACUUUAGUCCUAUUUUCGUUGGUUUAGGUACUUCAGUAAUGAUGAAUAGAAACGGUUAGGGGCAUUUGUAUUUGGUCGCUAGAGGUGAAAUUCUUGGAUUGACCGAAGACAAACUACUGCGAAAGCAUUUGACCCGGGACGUUUUCAUUGAUCAAGGUCUAAAGUUAASGGAUCGAAGACGAUUAGAUACCGUCGUAGUCUUAACCACAAACUAUGCCGACUAGAGAUUGGGCGUGUUUAUUAUGACUCGCUCAGCAUCUUAGCGAAAGUAAAGUUUUUGGGGUUCUGGGGGGGGAGUAUGGGGACGCAAGGCUGAAACUUAAAGGGAAUUGACGGAAGGGCACCACCARGAGUGGARSCUGCGGCUUAAUUUGACUCAACACGGGGAAACUCACCAGGUCCAGACAUAGUAAGGAUUGACAGAUUGAAAGCUCUUUCUAGAUUCUAUGGGUGGUGGUGCAUGGCCGUUCUUAGUUCGUGGAGUGAUUUGUCUGGUUAAUUCCGAUAACGAACGAGACCUUAUUCUGCUAAUUAGACAGGCUAACUCUUUCGGGUUGGUUUAUAUUUAAUAUUUAACUGGCUUCUUAGAGAGACUAUCGCUCAAGCCGACGAAU